ACUUCAGCUGGCACCUUUCCUUUGCUGCGUGGGUGGACACAGGACAGUCAUGUCACCCUUGUAGUAAGAUCUUCAGCCUUCCCUCAGCCACGUCCACCCUUCCCAACUCGUUACAUGAAUUGAUCAAGGAUUCACCUGCUUUCUUUUCCAAGAAAAACAUGAAAGCUGGAAUGAAGUUUUAUUGGAAUUGAUGCACCUUCGUUGUCAAUAGCAGGAAAAUGAGUAGUGGAGUGGCAGAAGCUUCUGAGAAACCUGGUAGCAAUUGACCUGAGUAGCAAAAACAUGACGUGACUGAGA